UCGUCUUUUGAAGUCUCUGAUAAAAGAUAAUGCCUGCCCAGUGAAACUUUAAACGGCCGCGUUAGCGUGAGCGUGCUAAGGUAGCGUAAUAAUUAGCCUUUUAAUUGGAGGCCAGUGAAUGGCAAGACUAGGAACACCUUUACUUUGUGGUGUCAAAAAAACUUUUCGUCUAAGUGAAAAGACUUAGAUAACAAAGGAAGACGAAAAGACCCCGCGGAGCUUUACCUCUUCUCGCGCUUCUGUUUACACACUUAAAAGUGCUUAAGGUUUGAUUGGGGCAAUCUCGGAAUCAUCAAAGCUUCCGAUUCUUUAGAAAUCAUAUCUAAAACUUACUAAGGACCAAAAAGAAGCUACCCCGGGGAUAACAGCGUAAUCCAACUCAAGAGUACAUAUCGAAAGUUGGGUUUGCGACCUCGAUGUUGGCUUAAGGAUAUCCACAUUAGUGCAACCGCUAUGACAGGAUAGUCUGUUCGACUAUUAUACCCUUA
rnacentral:rRNA from 1 species